rnacentral:sRNA from 1 species
UGUAACGUGUAAACCGGCAGGACCGGCAA